CCCAUUCCCUCUUGAGACAUGCAAAUGGCCAACUGACCCCAGUGAGGAUGUGCUUUCUCCAUUAAUAGCUCUCACACCAAACAAGAACAGAGAACCUGGGGUUUCAUCAAGAUCAAUCACACAUGAAGCUGUCACUUGUUCCCCAGGAGAGGAUGAUG